rnacentral:rRNA from 1 species
AGUGAACGCUGGCGGUAGGCCUAACACAUGCAAGUCGAACGGCAGCACAUUAAGAGCUUGCUCUUACGGGUGGCGAGUGGCGGACGGGUGAGGAAUACAUCGGAAUCUACUUUUUCGUGGGGGAUAACGUAGGGAAACUUACGCUAAUACCGCAUACGACCUCCGGGUGAAAGCAGGGGAUCUUCGGACCUUGCGCGAUUGAAUGAGCCGAUGUCGGAUUAGCUAGUUGGCGGGGUAAAGGCCCACCAAGGCGACGAUCCGUAGCUGGUCUGAGAGGAUGAUCAGCCACACUGGAACUGAGCCACGGUCCAGACUCCUACGGGAGGCAGCAGUGGGGAAUAUUGGACAAUGGGCGCAAGCCUGAUCCAGCCAUACCGCGUGGGUGAAGAAGGCCUUCGGGUUGUAAAGCCCUUUUGUUGGGAAAGAAAAGCAGCAGGUUAAUACCCCGCUGUUCUGACGGUACCCAAAGAAUAAGCACCGGCUAACUUCGUG